GAUGAACGCUGGCGGCGUGCCUAAUACAUGCAAGUCGAGCGAACGGACGAGAAGCUUGCUUCUCUGAUGUUAGCGGCGGACGGGUGAGUAACACGUGGAUAACCUACCUAUAAGACUGGGAUAACUUCGGGAAACCGGAGCUAAUACCGGAUAAUAUUUUGAACCGCAUGGUUCAAAAGUGAAAGACGGUCUUGCUGUCACUUAUAGAUGGAUCCGCGCUGCAUUAGCUAGUUGGUAAGGUAACGGCUUACCAAGGCAACGAUGCAUAGCCGACCUGAGAGGGUGGUCGGCCACCCUGGAACUUGGACACGGUCCAGACGCCUACGGGAGGCAGCAGUCGGGAACCUUCCGCAAUGGGCGGAAGCCUGACGGAGCAACGCCGCGUGAGUGAUGAAGGUCUUCGGAUCGUAAAACUCUGUUAUUAGGGAAGAACAUAUGUGUAAGUAGCUGUGCACAUCUUGACGGUACCUGAUCAGAAAGCCACGGCUAACUACGUG
rnacentral:rRNA from 1 species